rnacentral:rRNA from 1 species
AAUUGGAGGGCAAGUCUGGUGCCAGCAGCCGCGGUAAUUCCAGCUCCAAUAGCGUAUAUUAAAGUUGUUGCAGUUAAAAAGCUCGUAGUUGAAUUUCGGGAUCAAUAUUUCGGUCAUGCCGUUGGUAUGCACUGUUAUCAUUGAUUUCUCACCUUCUAAAGAACCGUAAUGCCAUUAAUUUGGUGUUACGGGGAAUUAGGACUGUUACCUUGAAAAAAUUAGAGUGUUUAAAGCAGGCUCACGCUUGAAUACAUUAGCAUGGAAUAAUGAAAUAGGACAUCCGAUUCUAUUUUGUUGGUUUCUAGGAUCACCGUAAUGAUUAAUAGGGAUAGUUGGGGGCAUUAGUAUUCAAUUGUCAGAGGUGAAAUUCUUGGAUUUAUUGAAGACUAACUACUGCGAAAGCAUUUGCCAAGGAUGUUUUCAUUAAUCAAGAACGAAAGUUAGGGGAUCGAAGACGAUCAGAUACCGUCGUAGUCUUAACCAUAAACUAUGCCGACUAGGGAUCGGAUGAUGUUAAUUUUUUAAUGACUCAUUCGGCGCCUUACGGGAAACCAAAGUGU